rnacentral:rRNA from 1 species
GACGAACGCUGGCGGCGUGCUUAACACAUGCAAGUCGAACGGGCCUGUCUUCUUUUUUGGGGGUGGGUUGAGUGGCGAACGGGUGCGUAUCACGUGAGUAACCUGCCCUUCGGUCCUGGAUAACCGCUUGAAAGGGCGGCUAAUACGGGGUGGUCCGGUUGGUCCGCAUGGGCUGGUCGGGAUAGAUUCACUGUUUUUGGUGUUUCGGCGGGGGAUGGGCUCGCGGCCUAUCAGCUUGUUGGGGGGGUGAUGGCCUACCAAGGCGGUGACGGGUAGCCGGACGGGGAGGGCGGGCGGCGACCCGGGGACUGAGCUACGGCCCAGGGGCCUGCGGGAGGCAGCAGUGGGGGGUAUUGCACAGCGGGCGGAAGCCUGAUGCAGCGAGGUCGAGUGAGGGAUGGCGGCCUUCGGGUUGUGAACCUCUGUUUCGGGUGGUGAAGGCCCUGUCCGUGUGGUGGGGUUGACGGUAGCCGGGGAUGAAGCGCCGGCUAACUACGUG